rnacentral:rRNA from 1 species
UACGUAGGUGGCAAGCGUUGUCCGGAUUUACUGGGCGUAAAGCGCGCGCAGGCGGGUCGGUCAGUCUGGGGUGAAAUCUCACGGCUUAACUGUGAGAGGUCCCUGGAUACUACCGGUCUUGAGGGGCUCAGAGGAGAGUGGAAUUCCGGGUGUAGUGGUGGAAUGCGUAGAUAUCCGGAGGAACACCAGUGGCGAAAGCGACUCUCUGGGGGCAUCCUGACGCUGAGGCGAGAAAGCGUGGGGAGCGAACCGG